rnacentral:rRNA from 1 species
AACGAACGCUGGCGGCAGGCCUAACACAUGCAAGUCGAGCGCACCUUCGGGUGAGCGGCGGACGGGUGAGUAACGCGUGGGAACGUGCCCUUUGGUACGGGAUAACUGAGGGAAACUUCAGCUAAUACCGUAUGUGCCCUACGGGGGAAAGAUUUAUCGCCAUUGGAGCGGCCCGCGUUGGAUUAGGUAGUUGGUAAGGUAAAGGCUCACCAAGCCUACGAUCCAUAGCUGGUCUGAGAGGAUGAUCAACCACACUGGGACUGAGACACGGCCCAGACUCCUACGGGAGGCAGCAGUAGGGAAUCUUGCGCAAUGGGCGAAAGCCUGACGCAGCCAUGCCGCGUGAAUGAUGAAGGUCUUAGGAUUGUAAAAUUCUUUCACCGGGGAAGAUAAUGACGGUACCCGGAGAAGAAGCCCCGGCUAACUUCGUGCCAGCCGCCGCAGUAAAAC